AUGUCCUCUCCCAAGCAGCCCAGGAGAACAGGGAAUGGGGGCUGUGGUCAGUCUAUAGCACUCCAUCUCUGCCGUUCCUUCACGGUCACUCUCUGCCCCUGCUCCACGUGGGGUCCCUCCCAUGGGCAGCAGCUCUUCAAGAACUGCUCCCACACGGCUCCGUACCACGGGGUCCAUCCCCCAGGAGCAAACUGCUCCAGCACGGGUCCCCCACAGGCGGCAGCUCCCCCCAGACCCCCUGCUCCUGCGUGGGCUCCUCUCCACGGGCUGCAGCUCCGGCCCGGGGCCUGCUCCUGCGGGGGCUCUCCAUGGGCCGCAGCCUCCUCCAGGCCACAUCCACCUGCUCCACCGGGGGCUCCUCCACGGGCUGCAGCGUGGAGAUCUGCUCCGUGUGGGACCCAUGGGCUGCAGGGGGACAGCCUGCUCCGCCAGGGGCCUCUCCGCAGGCCGCAGGGGAACUGCUGCUGCCUGCCUGGAGCACCUCCUGCCCUCCUGCUGCACUCACCUUGGGGGCUGCAGGGCUGUUCCUCACUCCUCUCUCUCCCAGCUGCUGUUCCAGCAUUUUAUUUUUUUUUUCUUCCUUUCUUAAAUAUGCCCUCAGAAAGGCACAGACAACAUCACUUAUUGGCUCGGCUCUGGCCAGCAGCAGGGCCCUUAUCUAACAUGGAGCAGCUUCUGGAUUCUUCUCAGAGAAGCCAUCUUUAUUGCUCUCCGCUACCAAAACUUUGCCACGUAAACUCACUACAACUCCAUGGAAAUAGUAAAACUGAUGUGAAACUAAAAUACAGUCACAUGAUCACAGCACAGUCGUUAACCCCAUGUUA
rnacentral:lncRNA from 1 species